rnacentral:rRNA from 1 species
GACAGAGGUGCCGAGCGUUAGGCGGAAUCACUGGGCUUAAAGCGUGUGUAGGCGGGCGGGCAAGUACCUUGUGAAAUCCCACGGCUCAACCGUGGAACUGCUGGGUAUACUGCCUGUCUUGAGCCAGCCAGGGGCAGUCGGAACAGACGGUGGAGCGGUGAAAUGCGUAGAUAUCGUCUGGAACGCCAAAGGUGAAAACAGACUGCUGGGGCUGUGCUGACGCUGAGACACGAAAGCCAGGGGAGCAAACGGG